AAGGGAUUAUAAACCAGGAACACCGGAACAAGGAGUUGGUGCUUAGAAGAAUCCAAUAACUGAAAAAUGCACCUAAGAAUGCCAGAGGUUUAUGAAAUCUGAUCGGAAUGAAAAUGACACUGCCAUAGUGAUCCAUCCACUGUCAUAUGCCUGGGUGUUUGACAAAAAUAUAUAAUAGUUUCAUACGUGUUUAUUUAGUAUAUUUGCACAUGUGCAGAAACAGUCAUACAUCUAUUAAUAUGUCUUAAUCCACUGAGAUGGAAUGGAUUUGUGCAUAUUGUGAGUGAUAGAGACAGACAAU